GAUGAACGCUAGCGGCGUGCCUAAUACAUGCAAGUCGAGCGAAUGGAAUAAGAGCUUGCUCUUAUGAAGUUAGCGGCGGACGGGUGAGUAACACGUGGGUAACCUGCCCAUAAGACUGGGAUAACUCCGGGAAACCGGGGCUAAUACCGGAUAACAUUUUGAACUGCAUGGUUCGAAAUUGAAAGGCGGCUUCGGCUGUCACUUAUGGAUGGACCCGCGUCGCAUUAGCUAGUUGGUGAGGUAACGGCUCACCAAGGCAACGAUGCGUAGCCGGCCUGAGAGGGUUAUCGGCCACCCGGGGACUGAGACACGGCCCAAACUCCUACGGGGGGCAGCAGUAGGGAAUCUUCUGCAAUGGACGAAAGUCUGACGGAGCAAAGCCGCGUGAUUGAUGAAGGCUUUCGGGUCGUAAAACUCUGUUGUUAGGGAAGAACGAGUGCUAGUUGAAUAAGCUGGCACCUUGACGGUACCUAACCAGAUAGCAACGGCUAACUACGUGCCAGCCGCCGCGGUAA
rnacentral:rRNA from 1 species